GAAAUGCGAUAAGUAAUGUGGAUUGCAGAAUUCAGUGAAUCAUCGAAUCUUUGAACGCACAUUGCGCCCGCCAGCACUCUGGCGGGCAUGCCUGUUCGAGCGUCAUUUCAACCCUCAGAACCCCUUGCGGGAUCUGGCGUUGGGGAUUGGCAUCCAGCCAGCCCCGAAAUCUAGUGGCGGUCCCUCCGCGACCUCCCCUGUGCAGUAGCGAUACCUCGCAGCGGGACAGCGGUCUGACCACGCCGUAAAACCCCCAACUUCUCAAGGUUGACCUCGAAUCAGGUAGGAAUACCCGCUGAACUUAAGC
rnacentral:misc_RNA from 1 species